rnacentral:misc_RNA from 1 species
UUUCCGUAGGUGAACCUGCGGAAGGAUCAUUAUUGUAUAACCGAGGUGCGAGGGCUGUCGCUGACCCGAAAGGUCGUGCACGCCCGAGUGCUCUCACACACAUCCAUCUCACCCCUAUGUGCACCACCGCGUGGGUCCCCCUUUGGCUUGUUCGGAGGGGGGCUUACGUUUUCACACAAACUUUGUAUGCAGUGUAGAAUGUAUUUUUUGUUUUUGCGAUCACGCAAUCAAUACAACUUUCAACAACGGAUCUCUUGGCUCUCGCAUCGAUGAAGACGCAGC